rnacentral:rRNA from 1 species
GACGAACGCUGGCGGCGUGCUUAACACAUGCAAGUCGAGCGGUAAGGCCCUUUCGGGGGUACACGAGCGGCGAACGGGUGAGUAACACGUGGGUGACCUGCCCUCAGCUCUGGGAUAAGCCCGGGAAACUGGGUCUAAUACCGGAUAUGACUCCAUGACGCAUGUUGUGGGGUGGAAAGCCUUGUGCGGCUGAGGAUGGGCCCGCGGCCUAUCAGCUUGUUGGUGGGGUGAUGGCCUACCAAGGCGACGACGGGUAGCCGGCCUGAGAGGGCGACCGGCCACACUGGGACUGAGACACGGCCCAGACUCCUACGGGAGGCAGCAGUGGGGAAUCUUGCGCAAUGGGCGAAAGCCUGACGCAGCGACGCCGCGUGAGGGAUGACGG